UACAGGGGGGGCAAGCGUUGUUCGGAAUUAUUGGGCGUAAAGAGCUCGUAGGCGGCUUGUCGCGUCGACUGUGAAAACCCGCGGCUCAACCGCGGGCCUGCAGCCGGAUACGGGCAGGCUAGAGUUCGGUAGGGGAGACUGGAAUUCCUGGUGUAGCGGUGAAAUGCGUAGAGAUGUGGAGGAACACCAGUGGCGAAGGCGACUUUCUGGACUGUAACUGACGCUGAGGCAUGAAAGCGUGGGGAGCAAACAGG
rnacentral:rRNA from 1 species